GGUUAAGCUAGUAAGAGCACACGGAGGAUGCCUAGGCGCCAGGAGCCGACGAAGGACGUGGCGAACGACGAAAUUGCCUCGGGGAGCUGUAAGCAAGCAUCGAUCCGGGGAUGUCCGAAUGGGGAAACCCGGCUGCUGUAAUAGGCAGUCACUCACACCUGAAUACAUAGGGUGUGAAGAGGCAUACGAGGGGAACUGAAACAUCUAAGUACCCUCAGGAAGAGAAAACAAUAGUGAUUCCGUCAGUAGCGGCGAGCGAACGCGGAAAAGCCUAAACCGGAGAGCUUGCUCUCCGGGGUUGUGGGACGUCUCACAUGGAGUCAGAAAGGUGUUUAUUAGACGAAGAGGUCUGGAAAGGCCCGCCAAAGAAGGUAAUAGCCCUGUACUCGAAAGUAAAUGCCCUCCGAGACGGAUCCCGAGUACCGCGGGACACGUGAAACCCCGUGGGAAUCCGGCAGGACCAUCUGCUAAGGCUAAAUACUCCCUGGCGACCGAUAGUGAAGCAGUACCGUGAGGGAAAGGUGAAAAGCACCCCGGAAGGGGAGUGAAAUAGAACCUGAAACCGUGUGCUUACAAGAAGUCAGAGCCCUAUGAUGAAACUUGUUUUCAUCAGGGUGAUGGCGUGCCUUUUGUAGAAUGAACCGGCGAGUUACGUUUACGUGCAAGGUUAAGGUGAAAAGCCGUAGCCGCAGCGAAAGCGAGUCUGAAUAGGGCGCAUGAGUACGUAGGCGUAGACCCGAAACCGUGUGAUCUACCCCUGUCCAGGGUGAAGGUGCGGUAACACGCACUGGAGGCCCGAACCCACGAAUGUUGAAAAAUUCGGGGAUGAGGUGGGGGUAGCGGAGAAAUUCCAAUCGAACUCGGAGAUAGCUGGUUCUCCCCGAAAUAGCUUUAGGGCUAGCCUCGGAGGAAGAGUCGUGGAGGUAGAGCACUGAUUGGGUGCGGGGCCCGCCAAGGGUUACCAAGCUCAGUCAAACUCCGAAUGCCAUGGACUUAUUAUCCGGGAGUCAGACAAUGGGUGCUAAGGUCCGUUGUCAAGAGGGAAACAGCCCAGACCAUCAGCUAAGGCCCCUAAGUGUACGUUAAGUGGGAAAGGAUGUGGAGUUGCCCAGACAACCAGGAUGUUGGCUUAGAAGCAGCCAUCAUUUAAAGAGUGCGUAAUAGCUCACUGGUCGAGUGACUCUGCGCCGAAAAUGUAACGGGGCUAAACGUACCGCCGAAGCUAUGGAUUGAUGCUUCUUGCAUCAGUGGUAGGGGAGCGUUGUGUACCGGGUUGAAGGCAGACCGGAAGGACUGCUGGACUGUACACAAGUGAGAAUGCCGGUAUGAGUAACGAAAAGACAUGUGAGAAUCAUGUCCGCCGAAAGCCUAAGGGUUCCUGGGGAAGGCUCGUCCGCCCAGGGUAAGUCGGGACCUAAGGCGAGGCCGAAAGGCGUAGUCGAAGGACAACAGGUUGAAAUUCCUGUACCACCGUAGCCGUUAUGAGCAAUGGGGGGACGCAGAAGGAUAGGGACGCGAGCUGAUGGAUGCUCGUCCAAGCAGUGAGGCUGGUCAGUAGGCAAAUCCGCUGACCGUAAGGCUGGGCUGUGACGGGGAGGGAAAAUUACAGUACCGAAGGUCUUGAUUUCAUGCUGCCAAGAAAAGCCUCUAGCCAGGUAAAGGUGCCCGUACCGCAAACCGACACAGGUAGGCGAGAAGAGAAUUCUAAGGCGCGCGGAAGAACUCUCGUUAAGGAACUCGGCAAAAUGACCCCGUAACUUUGGGAGAAGGGGUGCCCCGGUAGGGUUAAUAGCCCGAGGGGGCCGCAGUGAAUAGGCCCGAGCGACUGUUUAGCAAAAACACAGGUCUGUGCGAAGCCGUAAGGCGAAGUAUACGGGCUGACGCCUGCCCGGUGCUGGAAGGUUAAGGGGAGUGGUUAGCCGCAAGGCGAAGCUAUGAACCGAAGCCCCAGUAAACGGCGGCCGUAACUAUAACGGUCCUAAGGUAGCGAAAUUCCUUGUCAGGUAAAUUCUGACCCGCACGAAUGGCGUAACGACUUGGGCGCUGUCUCGACGAGAGAUCCGGUGAAAUUUUAAUACCUGUGAAGAUGCAGGUUACCCGCGACAAGACGGAAAGACCCCAUGGAGCUUUACUGCAGCUUGAUAUUGGACUUUGGUACGGUCUGUACAGGAUAGGUGGGAGCCUGAGAAGCCGGAGCGCCAGCUUCGGUGGAGGCGCCGUUGGGAUACCACCCUGAUCGUAUCGGAGUUCUAACCUGGGACCGUGGAACCGGUUCGGGGACAGUGUCAGGCGGGCAGUUUGACUGGGGCGGUCGCCUCCUAAAGAGUAACGGAGGCGCCCCAAGGUUCCCUCAGAAUGGUUGGAAAUCAUUCGAAGAGUGCAAAGGCAGAAGGGAGCUUGACUGCGAGACCUACAAGUCGAGCAGGGACGAAAGUCGGGCUUAGUGAUCCGGUGGUACCGCAUGGAAGGGCCAUCGCUCAACGGAUAAAAGCUACCCUGGGGAUAACAGGCUUAUCUCCCCCAAGAGUCCACAUCGACGGGGAGGUUUGGCACCUCGAUGUCGGCUCAUCGCAUCCUGGGGCUGAAGUAGGUCCCAAGGGUUGGGCUGUUCGCCCAUUAAAGCGGUACGCGAGCUGGGUUCAGAACGUCGUGAGACAGUUCGGUCCCUAUCUGUCGCGGGCGUAGGAAAUUUGAGAGGAGCUGUCCUUAGUACGAGAGGACCGGGAUGGACGUACCGCUGGUGUACCAGUUGUCUCGCCAGAGGCAUAGCUGGGUAGCCAAGUACGGAAGGGAUAAGCGCUGAAAGCAUCUAAGCGUGAAGCCCCCCUCAAGAUGAGAUUUCCCACAUUGGUAAGACCCCUUGAAGACGACGAGGUAGAUAGGUUGGAGGUGGAAGUGCAGCAAUGCAUGGAGCUGACCAAUACUAAUCGGUCGAGGGCUUAUCCUA
rnacentral:rRNA from 1 species